AGUUUCCCCUCUUUUUAUUUUGUUACGUUCUUCUUCUUUCUCUCUCUUUUUUUCCUCCUCGGUGGCUGCUCAGCGUGGCCCACGCCUCAUACUCCGCCCUCGGGGGGCCUCUCAAGAGUGAGGACUCCCUGUUUGAUGAGGGGUUGGUGAUGAAGCCCUCGCUAGUAACUAGAAUGAAAGAUUAAGAACAAGCAACAACUACAGCAAGGAAAACAAGCGAAGAUGUCUGCUGAAAGACAAUGUAAAGGUGAAAACAGCUUCAUUAAGGAUUUGAAGUUAUAUCAAGAAUCUUUUUCAAUCAAAGUACUUAUACUGAAAGUGUCCUUGGAUCAAUUCUCAUCUUCAAAAGGCUCAGGUCAGGUUCAAAAGCUUAUUGUGAUUGACGAAGAGUGAGGCACUGCUCAAUGUAAAGCAAGCUUUUCGGUCAACUGCAAUUGAUCUUCCUCCAGAAGAAUCAACUGCACCAUAUCAUUCAAUUACACUGCCAGAAACUUUUGAUCUUGAUGAUUUUGAGCUACCUGAUAGUACUUUACUCAAUGGUAACUUCGAUGACCGCCAUGUCGGUACAAGAGAGAAGAUUACACUUCAGGAUACUGUGGAUGGCACUGGAUACUCCACAUCACAAUUUUGAUUACAUGAUUUGGUGAUGGAGAUGCUUCUCAGAUUGGUGUGGAGCUUGACGAGAUUAUGGAGAGAAAGUUGUAAAGAAGUAUGAUAAGGUGAGUAAGUCUUGGGUCGCCCUUGGAGGAUUGCCAGAGAGGUCAGUGUCGGUUAAAGGAUGGGGAUUGACUUUUAGUAGGGCUUGUGGAGAGAGGCUAAUUGUUAUUGGAGGACCGAGAGGAUUAAGAGGAGGGAUGGUCGAGCUCAACUCUUGGAUUCCAGAUGGAGGGCCGAGAUGAUAGCAAGCAAACAUUCAGGGAGAUUUGUUUAUAAUUGUGCUGUUAUAGGAUGCUUAAUUCAGGAUGAAUUUUAUGCAUAUAAUGGGUAUUUUCCUGCCUUUUCUUGCUUACAAAAUUCAGAUUGAAUUAAGAUUCAACUGAAUGGCUCGUUUAGAUAACACUUCAGGGUAUUUUUUGCUUUUCUUGGUCAUUUUUAUUUAAUUUGCGUUGGAAUGUUUGGUAUCGGUGGAGUUUUCUGGAGAUAUAUGUUUGUGCAAGCACAAUUGGUUAAUAGUAUUCUGACACUUAUUAUGUUUUCUGAUA